CAUGCGCAGUGUUUCGGAACCUACUGGACCUGAGACCGACGAAGAAAGGCGGCGGCUACAGACGUCACGUUGCAAGGUAACAUGGCGGAACCUUUUCUGAGCAUUAUGUGGGUGAAAAGACACAAUGCUUUUCUUCUCAGAGUUGAGGCCUGUAACAGGAUGAGAGUAACUGGUGACCUUUUCACUGCCGAGUCCGACACGGCGAGGAAACGUUCAGCAGCGAGAGCAGAGCAGCUCAGACGGGCGUCAUGUCUGUCGCUGAGAUGUGGUGAAGUAAGGCAGCUGUCAGUUCAAAUACAGACGUACGACCUGGUGGGUGUGUGGGUGUGUGUGUGUGUGUGUGCUUCAAUCCAGACCACCAGAGGUCUUAAUGAGAGAAAUUUAAUCAAUUCAGCCACAGACAGACUGCAGAUCAUCUACUGUUCCUUGAAGGACAAACACAAACAGGUUAAAAAUCUGAAAAGUGCAGUGUGCAUUUAUUUUAGGAGUUGCUUGUAAUUAAGCUGGUAAUAAAAGCCUAUCCGUGUAAUGUCAUUUUAGUAUAAAUCCAGAUGUUCUUUGAAGACCUUGGACAUCUGUUAGAGAACAAUAGUGAACAAAAAGCAUCAUGAAGACUUCAGUUCAGCUAAAUAAAAUGGGUUUAGAGCCACAAAUAUGACCUGAUCUUAUAACUUUUGAUAAAUAUCUACCUUUUAAAUAUCUAACUUUUGAUAGGAUUGAUAUUUGCACAUACUGCCAACCUAAUAAGAAAAAUAGAUCAAAUAAAAAUGGUUGGUACUAGUAUCAUUGCUAUGGAAAUAAAAUAUAGAAACUGAAAAUAGCUAAUACAUGCAUUUGUUAUUAUAUCUUUUUAAAACUUCAGUUAUUUCUUUAUGAUUUUUAGUCAAAGUUUUUAAGCGAGGACCCCAGUCCAGAGGUGGAGGACCGUGGGGAUCGUCCAAAGAGCCAGUUGUGGGUCCAGAGCCGCAGGUUGCAGACCCCUGGUCUGGCUAUUGUUGAAAGAAAUGAGAGAUAAGUGCCAUCUGCAGUUUUCCACACCAUCAAUAUGGUGAAGCAUGGUGGUGGAAGUAUCAUGACGUAGAAAUGCUUCUCUUCGGUUGCAAAAGACUUUAGACUAAACCAGGUGUGUCCAAACUUUUUAGUCUAUUUGCAGCAAUAAAAACAUGAUUUGGGUCGCUCUUUAUUUAAAAAUAAAGUAUUUAGCCAUGUUUUAAAAAUGUAAUUAAAGACAGAUUUGGGUCAAUGGAUAGAUGUGUUCUGAUCUGAUGGUUUAUAAAAAGAUGAAUAGUUUGUGUUGUAUCAAAGAAGAUGAGAAGAUUUUAAUUUAUGGGUCAAAGUUUAGUCCUAGUUGGAAAAAAAAGUCUCCAUCGCAAUCAACUAGGAGAGGUCCAAAACGUGGCUCAGGGGCCAUUUGUGGCUCUUGAAAUUAUUUUGAUUGAGUCAACAUGAAAAUAUGUGGCAGGACUUGAAAAUUCAUGUUCACAGAGAUUUUCAGUCCGAUCUGACUGAGCUUGAGCUUGUUUGCAAAGAAAAACAAGCUAAAAGAUGUAGAUGUACAAAGCUGGUGAAGACAUGGUAGCUAAAGAGAGGCCAACCACACUUUUCAGAUUUAAAAAAGUAAAAAUGAAACCAAUUCAUCUUCUCCGCUUUACAUCGAUGCAGUAACUUGUGUUGGUUUAUCACAUAAAAUACGACGAAGCUUGUUGAUUCACUGACAAAAAGUUUCAAAACGGUUUUCAAGGAACAGAGGUAACAACCAGGUGACAUCAGGAAUUUAGAGCCCGUCAAAAACACCCGUGUCUGUCUGGGUGUGUGUGUGUGGGCGCGUGCUGGGCUGUGUGUGUGUGUAAAAGUGCAUAGAUUUUAGAGAGAGGGGCAUCUCGGUAUAAUAAUUAACCCUUUUCUCUCAAGUGUGCUGAACUUUGAAGCGUUAAUACUAACUGGAGUAGGAGAACAGUGCAGGAUUAGCGCCUCGCUUAGCCGGCUCUGACAAGCAGAGGAAGCCUGGAGAGGUGGCCUGCAGCCAGGACAGCUCCGACCAGGGAGAACCCUGCUGAGCAGAGCGAGACUGCAGACAGGGAAACAAAAAAAAACAAACAAAAAAAACCAGAGAACUGCACGGUGAAAGGGCAGGCUACUGCAAAACCAAGUGAACAGCAGAGCCAAGCAAACUGUCUGAAUCAUUAGCAGUCUGCUGGUUUUCUCUUCCUUCCUCUGGUGGACAGG